rnacentral:rRNA from 1 species
CCAGCAGCUGCGGUAAUUCCAGCUCCAAUAGCGUAUAUUUAAGUUGUUGCAGUUAAAAAGCUCGUAGUUGGAUUUCGGGUGGGUUCUAGCGGUCCGCCUCUGGUGAGUACUGCUAUGGCCUUCCUUUCUGCCGGGGACGGGCUCCUGGGCUUAACUGUCCGGGACUCGGAAUCGGCGAAGUUACUGUGAGUAAAUUAGAGUGUUCAAAGCAAGCCUACGCUCUGAAUACAUUAGCAUGGAAUAACACGAUAGGACUCUGGCCUAUCCUGUUGGUCUGUAGGACCGGAGUAAUGAUUAAGAGGGACAGUCGGGGGCAUUCGUAUUUCAUUGUCAGAGGUGAAAUUCUUGGAUUUAUGAAAGACGAACUUCUGCGAAAGCAUUUGCCAAGGAUGUUUUCAUUAAUCACG